GCGCGAAAACUUUCCAAUGCACGAAAGUGUGAGAAGGGGAUCCCAAGUGCUCAACUUUGUUGGGCUUUUGCCAAGUGUAAAUAGCUUGGCGAAUAAGGGGUGGGCAAGACUGGUGCCAGCCGCCGCGGUAACCCCAGCGCCCCAAGCGGGAAUCACGAUUAUUGGGUCUAAAGCGUUCGUAGCAGGUUCUGUAAAUCUUUUGUGAAAUCGGCAGGCUUAACUUGUCGGCGUGCAGGGGACACUGCAGAACUCGAGACCGGGAGAGGCUAGAAGUAUUCCUUGGGUACCGGUAAAAUGGGUUAAUCCAAGGAGGACUACCAAUGGCGAAGGCAUCUAGCCAGAACGGUUCUGACUGUGAGGAACGAAAGCUAGGGGAGCAAAACGG
rnacentral:rRNA from 1 species